rnacentral:siRNA from 1 species
AUGAUGGAAAAGGUGAAGGUAUA